GAAAAACUCAAUGCAUCAUGGGAAUCCCCGAAUAAGGUCCUCGAUUUGUUUGGACUGGUCCUUCUGUUUGGAGCUGCCUGUCUCUGUCUCAUCUGCACUGGCCAUGCUGGGAUUCUCUGUGCCUGCAUCCUCGUGAUGACCAUCCCAACCCUGAAAAAAUAUUGCUGUAAACAGCGUGUGAGACAAACGAUAGCAUAUAAUAUGAAAUGAUGCAUGUUUCAGGUUUGUCAUCCGAUAUAUUUCAUCGUACCACACAGCCCUUGGCAUUUGUCUACUCCAGGGAGGUCAAACUCCUUCAACACUGACAUACAUACAACCCACUUUGAUCUUAAGUGUGUCAGAAAAUCCACUUUCUGUAAGUGUAAACUCUUUAGUUUGUGUUCUUUGUUUGAGGAGUCUCUAUGUUGUUCUUUUCUGUCUUCACCUUCUCCUCACCCUACAACCGGUCACAGUCGAUGACUACCUUUCCCUCUCUCCAAAUACAUAAAAACUUUUCCAAAAUAAGUCUGUUUCCCCCUUUUUCCAAAAUGUAGGAUUCACCUAUAUUGACUUCAGAGUUAGACGUAAUUUAGCUUUGUUUAAACAACUAAGUCUGGCAAAUUCUGCUGUGAAUCAGUAGUAAUCCAUCAGCACCGUCAUUUAAGUCCAUGAUAUUUUGAUAGUUUGACAGGGACAGGUGUACACGUCUUAACAAACUACAUUUAAAUUUAGCAUUCUGACAUAUGUCCAUGUGCAGAUAUGAACCUGCAUUCUCAGUUCCAGUAUGAAGAAAGAAAACAGCUAAUGACAUCACAGAAAGAAGUGUAGCUCACAUCUGCACGCGCACAGUAAACGGUCUUCUGCAGACUCUCCUGCGCACUUUGAUGUGGGAUGUAUUUAUCUGAAGUAGCCCCUGCAGAAGUCACGUCCUGCUGAAGUCACGUCCUGCUGAAGUCACGUCUUGCAGAAGUCACACACUUCAGGGUGCAAUAAAAGUGGAGACCAGUUCGGUCCAAAAGCUUUAUUGCUUUCCUGCUGCUCACACCUGUGAGGUUGGAGAGCACACGGCACAGAUACAGCUGCUCAGCUGCUCUGCCCCUGCCUGACCCCGUGAACUCUGCUUUAUCUCUCUCUUACUGUGGCCAAAUUCAUUUUGGGAGAAACAGUGGAAGCUUUAAAAGCUUUGCUCUGUAAUGUUUACCUUAUAACUUUAUAGCACAUCCAUGGUUUGUUUUUCUUAAUUGUGUUUUGAAGGAAAAAGUAAAACCAGUUGAAGCACAAAGAUGUUCGAUUUUCAAAAGCAGCCUGCUUUUCCUUUGAUAGCAGCUUUCCACAGUGUGCUCUGGUCUAGGUCCCUCAAAAAGUUACGGUAAAGCUCUGAUUAAUCAUGCACAACUUUGUGAAGGUUUAGCAAUGAUGAUCAUUAGAUUGUAACAGGUUGAAACAGAAGGUGAUGUUUGUUAUCUGCUUUGACUGGAGCUCUCAGGAAAAUCCCAGAGAGCCCAGUGUAAGUGGUCAGUGCAGGACUUCCAGGGAGAGACUUAAAAUUAGAGGCUGUGUUGGAAGCUGUGCAGACAUGGCCAAGAAGACAGUCCUGAAAGGGAAACCUCCAAAUAUAAAUCAUGAUGUUGUUAUUGGCCUAUUCUUUUAGUUCUCACAGCUUUAAUGUCAUUUCAAAUGUUGUUUAUAGAAGCAAUUUGCUAAUUAAUGUAUUUAAAUAACACAAAGGUUUUUGAUAAAGUAUGACCAGAGAGCAAAGUUAUACAAUAAACUUGUGUUUUCUUACUUGCAGUUUUCAGGUGAAAGGAAUGGAUUUUUCUUUCCCCUUUGACCUCUGCGUGCAUCUUCAGUGAUAACACUAACCCCGGCCUAUCAGAACAUGCUAGAAUACUCAAGUCAACAAUUGAACAAUCAUCCUAAAGCACAGUCAUCACAUUUGACAAGGAGAGAUCUUCUGAAAGAACUGAACAUGAUUUGUUGAUGAAUGGAGUUUGAGUAAUAAAUGCUAAACUGAAAAGAGUCCAACAAGUGCAGGAAGUAGGACAGGAUUGCCUCGAGUCAAGAUGCUGUUGGUGACAGAGACGAAGCAGGCAGAGACCGAGAUAACAAUCUCUAACUAGCCAGGAUGGAGAUAGCGAGGACACAGGUCACAUGAAUCAGAGUCUGACAGGUUGACAAAAGAGCACUGAGAUUUAAGGCACACAGAGCAAAGGAAGAAAGGAUGAAAAUAAUACCUCUGCAUGAGUAUCAUAUCUAUUUACAGUUUUACUUGGAGUGAAGCAAAGAGAGGGCUCAAAAGAGAGGUUUGGGUUUGGCUCAUCAGAGAUGACUUCUCAGACGGUGAACGAUGGUCUAGUGUCAUUAUUCAGAUUUUUAACCAGGUUGGCAAUGAGCAGGUGUUUUGUAUCCAUGUUUCUCAGAUCCCCUCCCUUCCCACUCCCCGUCUUACUUUCUGUAUCCUUCCACAAUGAGCUGUGCAUUAACGUUUGAAUGAUUCAUCCCACACUUUAGGGGAAUUACAUUUUACAAUGACAUUUCAUAACUAACCAGGUGUACUCUGAGAGGACUGUGUGUAUACAGUGCUGACUGAAGUUUCUGUCAAUUUUCUUUGCCCUACAUUAAUAAUUACUAAUUAGACCAGCCUCCCCAUAUUCUCUCCUCUAAGGUUCAGUAAACAUGCCAAUACAAUCAACCUCUCAUUUCAUUUUCUUACACUUGAGCAAGCAGAGCUUUUGUCGGGCACUUUGCGUGCUGUGUGCUCACUUCCCACACUUUGAUUUAGAAAAUGCUAAACUUAAUAUAUGAUUUAACCCAUUAACAUGUUGACAUGACACUGUCCUUUUCCCCAAAAACUGCUCUGAUCGACUGAAACUAAAUUGCUUUACAUUUAUCUUCAGGACCAGACCUUUCAGUCUGUUAUAUAGAGUGAUCAUUACAGAUGUACACUGACAAGGAUGACAUUUGAGUGCCCUGGAAUUCAAUGCAGUAUCAAGUGUGUACUAGACCUACUGGUCCUUAGUGAAAUGGACAUGUAUGCUUACGCUGCAAUAUCUUGUAGUGCCAGCAGAGGGCAAUCAUUUUUAAUGCUAACAUGAAAACAGUCAUGGGCAGGUACUGCAACCAGAGCAUGCAUGUUUGUGUCUGUUACACACGUUGAUAUUGGGUCGUGCAGUUUCAACCCAUGACUGUGCUGAUAUCAUUUUGGUUGGCGGACCAACAGCUGAUCAAAUAUUGGACAUGUAUGCACUAAAAAAAUGACCUCUCCAUUUAAAAAGCUUGACAUGUGUCUGUUUUUUUUUUAAUCUAUCAGGUGUUUGUAAAACAGCUGAUAAGUGAUGUGAAUAUUUAUCCAGGACCUCAAAACAGUUCCCCUCCCUGUUUCCAGCUGUUAGCAGGAUGGAGCUGAAAGGAGCAUUUUCAGAGUCAGUGGAGGAGUUAUUAGUGUUGGUCUCUGGCAGCAAGGUUACAUUAUUUAAUUUUAACAAAUCUUUAAGCCUUUAAAGCAGCUAUUCAUUUAUUUUUAACAUUUAUUUCAAUAAAAGUGCAAUGAUUACAACAGUCUGUUUAUGGCCUGUGUAACACAUUUCAUCAAUCAGGUUUAGUCCCAAUUCUAGUCUUAAUCUUACAAGUUAGCUGUCUCUAAAACAGUACAGCAGUUCUUAUAAGUUAAAUGUUUAUUUACAUAGCUCUUAAUCCCAGCUUCUUUCUGAAAAGAAUUUAAUAACACAUUAUUUACACAGAUUAUCCUGCAACGAAUUAAGCAAAAUAAAUAUAUCACCGAUCUUUAUUCAGAGCUUAAUUCUUUCUUAUUUAGGAAGAGUAUCCUAGUGUAAUACAACACUUACUGCAGUAGAGUAAACAGAUGAAGUAUUUACAUAAUAAAAUCUGAACCAAAACAUUUAAGUUGACCAACACGAGGCUGUUUGCUGUCUGACCUCCCCAAUUCUUUCUCCCCACUGUCAUGUCCAUUGUUUAAUAAAGGAAAUACAUAAAUGAGUUUAUAUAAGUCCAACUCUGAAUAGGUCACUAGAUCCCCGAUCAAUAUUAAGAAGUUAAACUAAAACCAAGUCCAUACUUUAAAAGCUAAAAUUAUAUACAUUGCAGUUUUUCUUAAUUUGGUUCAAAUCUCACAGCAGCAAAGUCAUUCUCACCACUUUUAACUCAGUUCUCAAAGGACUCGGAACAAAAUAGAAAAACAUACUUUCAGUGUUUCGUCACAGCCAAGUUUCCCUUUCAAGCUAAGGAUGGUCUACUGGACUGAGACCUGCUGACUGUUCAGGCCACUGCAGUACAGUGUUUCUAUUGUUCAGUCCUGGUGAGUCCAUGCGAAAUGACAGAAUACAUGUCCAUUGGUGUAGUUUAGUUUGUGUAGGUGUGAACUCUGACCAAACAACUGAACAUCUGAAGGAGGUGGUCUCGGUUCAUUUAUAUUGUGAACGGGAUCCAACCCCAAACCAAACCAACUACCAGGUGUACGUUACAGGUUUGAGCUAAAAACAUCCCGUAGCCAUGUAUGCUCUGUAUUGUCAAUACAGGGAGGUGCUAUAGAAGUGCAAAGGCCUGUAGGGUUAGCAACGAGCCAUGAAACAAACAGAAAUUAUCAGUUUUCUCACACAGCACCUUCUUCCUGUAUUUACUGUUGUUGCCCCACCCCAGCCACAUCUGGCUAACGAGCAGUGACUAAUUUAGGUUCUGUUGGAAUCUCUCUGUGUAAAAAAACAACAACUAAACGAUAAGUGUGAAAAUGCACGUAUGUGGUGGAAGGUUUUUAUUCAUUCAUCACAGAGAUGAAGUGAUCGACUGACUAUUUAUGUUUAGACAAAUGUGAAAAAGGUUUGGAUUGUUUUAAUGUCCUUUGGAGACUCUGUUAUGUCUUAACUGUUUUCUAAGAAUCCCUUUUCUGUUGUGAGAUUUGCACCAAAUCCAUGAAGGAAAACUGUAAAUAUCUCUUUAACCACAGGAGCUAAAUGGCACCAACAUUUGUACCAAACCGAUUGUGGCAGGAUGAAUGUUAUCCCUCGGUCCAACCCACUUUCAGCCUGGCGCAUUAGGGGGCGCUAGUAUAAAUAGUGGCCAUUUGAGUGUCCCUGGAUCGCUUACCUGUGAUCUCCUUUUUGGUCACCUGACUUCCCUUUGGUGUUGCCGAGAUUAUUUGCGGGUUACACUUCUGAAGCCUCCAUCGCGGCUGGUCGUAGCUGUAGAAGCCUCCUCUGAGCCAUUCUGCUCAUGCUUUAUGACGCGGCUUACUCGGAAGUGUGGGCCUUAGUUUUACGCCACGCUACGCGAACCGAGGUGCUGCUUUGCUUUGCUUUGUUUUUGCUGUCUGUUCCGGCUGCGAAGUUUCUUUCCUACUGCUGCCAGCCUUUAAAGUGGACGUCGGCGUGGACAACAGCCAUAUUCAUGCCACGCGGGUCGGCUGGCGUGCAUACUGAUUGACGGACUGGAUAAUUAACUUAUAGUCGUGCAGACGGCAAGUUGGAGCAAUACGGCGAUUCCGUUUGCUCCAUAUUUUAGAGUUUUAUCCAGAUUGUAUGUUGUUUUACUGUUGUUUGAUUUGUAGUUUGGAUUUUUGUUACGCCACUGGUGGGAGGCCCUUUUUUCUAGCUGCAGAUUACCAGUGUGGUCCUGCAGUUGGGUUAUCCCCCAGCGCUACACACUAGUUUGUUGUAAUAUAUUAAAAUUUUCUUUGUUUCUUUUAUUCAGAUGCGGAGCGCCGACGUGGAGGAGACUAGGGUGCCUUGGUGGUGGAAUCCUUUGCGUGUACACACCUGCCUUGUUUAGUUUAUUAGUGUGAGUGUGUGAUAGUGUGCUGCACGUGUCUUGGUGUGUUUUCUUUUUUUUAGUUUGUGUGUGGCAUCCCUGCCCCUCCACUGGUAAGCCUCAGCUAUGAAUACCUUUUUAAGCAUAUUUGUACAUGGCUAUUUAUGAUUGUGCUUUUAUACGGUGUUUUAAAUAAUUAUUAAUAAAUUGUCAACUUAUCAUUGAACCUCGUCUCUGUACUGAGUAUAGCGAACCUAAGUGCCUUUUUGGUGUUUUAGUGUUACUUCCAGUAUUCUCUGGGUGAAAUUCCCAGGGUGGCGUUGUCUUUUAAAACUGUGAAGAGUAUUUUAUUUCCACCUGGUGCUGCCACACAACCAUAAUAACUUUCUGGGUAAAUGAGCGAGUACAACUAGUGCUAACCAGUGAAGUCAGUUCUAACCCCCGCUGGUCACAACUGAAGGGUGUUGUUUCCUGAGUGUAACUCAAUCUUAAACUGCAGUACAGUAGAACAAUCUCAAUUACACCUGAACUGUGGACCACGUAAAAGAUGGAUGGAGUUAUUAUUAAGGCUCAACUUUGCCAUCUUGACCACACAGUCUUGUUUAUUUUGUUGUCAUCGUAACUUGUCAUCCAUCCAGCCAGCUCCUUCCACUUGGCCUGUUCAGGUUGGAAAGGCUGGGGGAUAUCUCAGUUGUAAUAAGGUGAAAGUUAAGUUAUUUUUGGGACAAUUUCUUUUAAAUGAAUGGUAAAGAAGAAUGUGAACAAUUUAUUAAUACCAAAGACUCAUACAAAAAGAAGUAAAUGCCUAUUGAUGUGAUAAAUCAGUUCAGAGGUAUGGUCAUUUAGACUUCAGUACAGCCAGAGUUAUUUUUGUAAGACUAACUCCCAGCUGGACGUGAAAUAGUGCAGGUUUAAGUCACUUCUGCACAGGCUUACUUGUCACACCCAUAGAUCAGGGCUCUCACACUCCAGUCCUCGAGGGCCGGUGUCCUGAAACUUGUCCAUGCGUCCAUACUGCAACACACCUGAAUACAAUUAGCAGGUCAUUAGCAAGACCCUGUAGAACUUGACUGCAUGCUAAGGUGGCAACCCCUAACUCCACUCAAGUAAGUUUAAAUAAAUGGAAGUGUUUGGAAAAAUGUACUUCUAAAGUACUUUUAUGGCACCGUGUUCACUCACUCAUGAGCUGCUGUAACAUGGCGUGUAGCAGUGGUCCAAAAUUCGACUCCCCCCUUGUCAGACACGAGACAUGCUGGUAAAAGUUCGGCGUGACUAGUCCGAGGUUCGCUUUAUUAAAGUCUCCUGCUACAAUGAGGGCUGCGCCCGGGUCCUUGUUUUGAAGCAAACUCAGCACAUCAUGUAGUUCGGACAAAGCCAUACCUGUGUCCACUUGGGUGGGAUGUAGACCACUGUGGCGAUGACCGAGGUGAACUCACGGGGCAGAUAGAAAGGGCGGCACUUACUGCUCAGGAAUUCCAGAUGUGGCGAGCAGCCGCUGGAACGAGUAGAAAUGCUCCUGGCAUCAAACCACUUUGUUUACCAUGAAACACACUCCUCCACCUUUGGUUUUGUUUGACUCUGCCGUUCUGUCCGCGCGGAGCACAAAGAACGAAUCCGACGGAGUUACGGCCUGGUCCGGCACGGUGGGGGUCAGCCAUGUCUCGUGAAGCACAGAAUGCUGCAGUCCCUCAUGUCACGUUGGAAGGUGACUCUUGGUCUUAGGUCAUUGAGCUUGUUCUCCAGCGAUUGUACGUUGGCCAGUAGGAUGCUGGGCAGUGGUGCGUGUGGUGUCUCAGUCUGCUCCGAACGCCAGCGCGUUUCCCCUGGCGCUUCUUUGUUCUAUGCCUCGGAUGAGCAGCCCAUCCUUUGUUGUUCUCCACGUAGUAUCUCUGGCGGCCAGGAUGGGUCGGGUUUAAGUGUCCAAGAUUAAAUGUGCAACCUUGUCACCGAUGUUUACAAAUGAUCUGCUGUCGUAGACUAUAAAACUAGAAGAUUUUGGCAUGUAAACCAGAGCAAAAAAUAAGUAAACUAAAAAGGUGCAUAGUCGGAGCGGAGCGGUCAGGAAGGCGUCUGGACGUGACCGCGCCAUCUUAAUAAAACGAUGUAUCAGAGGCAUCAUUGUGGAGAAAAACAAAUAUUUUCAGCUUUUAUUUACAUUUAUUCGUUAAGUCAAAAUUUGCCAGGGGCAUGAAUAAUUAUGGACUUGGCUCUUUUUAAUUGUACAUCGACCUGGGGGCCAGUGACUUGGUUAGGGCCAAGGUUGGGGUUACACUGACAUCUACAUUGAAUAUGAAAUGUUUGUCUAUGGAAAUAUUAUAAUAGAACAACUGUAUGUACACUGUAUAAAAAAAAAAAACAAAAAAAAAAAACAAAAAAAAAAAAACUGUCAAAUUUACGGUAAAAUACCGGCAGCUGUGGUUGCCAGGAAUAUACCGUGGAAAAAAAUGUGGGAUCUGUAAAAGACAAUACGGUAUACUGGUUUUGUAACCCUAAAUUUUAAGGUAGACAACGUAUUAUUUUACCAAAAUCAUGAUAGAAAAAAACAAAUAUAUUUGUCAAUUAUACAGCAAUUUAAUGUAAAAAAUGCAACUUUCCAUAGCUUUUUACGGAUAUUUGCAGUAAAAAAAAAAAAGUUAUAAUAUAAUAUUUACAGCAAUUUGUUGUUAAUUUAACAGUAAUAGGAUAGACCCUACUAUUGUAAAUAACUGUAAAAAUAACAGAAAUAUGUUCAACCUUAUUAAAACCUUUGACAGUAAAAAACACAGUGAAAUUGUAUAACAAAUUACAGCAUUUUAUUUUGACCAGAUACAUUUUACGGUAAAUUCCUGGCAACCACAGCUGCCGGUAUUUUACCGCUAAAAAUACAGUACAAUAUGAGGAACAUAAAUGGUUUACCGUACAUUUUACAUUUGCAACCGCUAAAUAUAGAAAAAUCUAAAGAUGCUCAUAUAUAACCAAGGUAGUGAAUAUUACUGAUAAACAAUGAGAAAAUUUGACAUACCAUUUGAAAACAGACUAAACAUAUCAUUUUCACUAUUCCUACAAAACAGCAUAGAUCUUGAGAAUACAGCAUGUGUCCAUAUAUAUGGCUGGUAAUCCAUGGAGUAAUGAAUAAACAUGAAACAAAAUAUUACCUGCCCCUGACCUAUCAACAGUAAUGAGUCACUGGGUCCUGCCUUGGUGAAGGAAAGGACUCAGUGGAGUUUCUAAUGCGCAUGGUGUCGAAGAUACAAGCUCUGCAGGAGUACUUCAAUGUCCAUCAGGAGUUCACUUUGGACUGGCAGGAUCCCCUCUGCAGCAAAAAA